GAAAUUUCCCUGAUGGGAGGACACAUCACCUAGGCCUCUCAAACAGGACUCCAGCCUGGUUAUCUUCAAGGGGCUUCCCCAGCUAGUGAGGUUGGAUGUUGUUAACGGAGUCUAUCCAUCUCAAGCUUCCUCGUGAAGAGAGCGUUUUAAAGAAGCGGGGUUCCAGCAGAUGUCUGAGAAGGAGCACUUGACCCUUUGAGAAAGAGGUUCAGAGAUCAAUGGGAAUAUGCAAAUGUUAAGACAAAAUCCAGAGCUGCGAGGUCAAGCUCUAAAUGUCACCAUCAAUCACUAUGGUCUGAAGUCUUCACCGGGUGUAAAAGGUGCCCUACAGACUGAAAUGUGUAGGGAGAGCUGUUUUUGUUAUUAAGAUUCUGCUUUUGGGGCACCUGGGUGGCUCAGUUGGUUAAGCGUCUGUCUUCUGUUUAAUCGUGAUCCCAGGGUUCUGGGAUAGAGUCCAGGGUCAGGCUCCCUCUUCCUCUGUCCCUCCCCUGC